rnacentral:rRNA from 1 species
CCUACGGGUGGCUGCAGUCGAGAAUCAUUCACAAUGGGGGAAACCCUGAUGGUGCGACGCCGCGUGGGGGAAUGAAGGUCUUCGGAUUGUAAACCCCUGUCAUGUGGGAGCAAAUUAAAAAGAUAGUACCACAAGAGGAAGAGACGGCUAACUCUGUGCCAGCAGCCGCGGUAAUACAGAGGUCUCAAGCGUUGUUCGGAAUCAUUGGGCGUAAAGCGUGCGUAGGCUGUUUCGUAAGUCGUGUGUGAAAGGCGCGGGCUCAACCCGCGGACGGCACAUGAUACUGCGAGACGAGAGUAAGGGAGGGGGAACCGGAAUUCUCGGUGUAGCAGUGAAAUGCGUAGAUAUCGAGAGGAACACUCGUGGCGAAGGCGGGUUCCUGGACAUUAACUGACGCUGAGGCACGAAGGCCAGGGGAGCGAAAGGGAUUAGAUACCCGGGUAGUC